GAUGAACGCUGGCGGCGUGCCUAAUACAUGCAAGUCGAGCGAACGGACGAGAAGCUUGCUUCUCUGAUGUUAGCGGCGGACGGGUGAGUAACACGUGGAUACCCUACCUAUAAGACUGGGAUAACUUCGGGAAACCGGAGCUAAUACCGGAUGAUCUUUUGAACCGCAUGGUUCAAAAGUGAAAGACGGUCUUGCUGUCACUUAUAGAUGGAUCCGCGCUGCUUUAGCUAGUUGGUACGGUAACGGCUUACCAAGGCAACGAUGCGUAGCCGACCUGAGAGGGUGGUCGGCCACACUGGAACUGAGACACGGUCCAGACUCCUACGGGAGGCAGCAGUAGGGAAUCUGCCGCAAUGGGCGAGAGCCUGACAGAGCAACGCCGCGGGAGUGAUGAAGGUCUUCGGAUCGUAAAACUCUGUUAUGAGGGAAGAACAUAUGUGUAAGUAACUGUGGACAUCUUGACGGUACCUAAUCAGAAAGCCACGGCUAACUACGUG
rnacentral:rRNA from 1 species